rnacentral:ncRNA from 1 species
CCUCGAAGAGGCAAACUCCGGGUCACCGGAGGACGCGAAGCCACGGGCUCUCAAAGACAGUGGAACGUUGACAGUGGAACGUUGAACGUCAAACGCCUUCCACUGAAACGUUCAACGUUCCACUGUGUUCCGGAAGCCGGGCUGCCGAAA